rnacentral:rRNA from 1 species
AUGAUCCAUCCAAAGAAGCUUGCUCAGCUGGCCAAGAAGUGUCAGCGGAUGUUGGUGGCCAGAGCCGGUGCCCGCCAUUGGCAUGCCUCAGACACGACCGGCGACGAGUGCUGCAGCUCAGUGUCAUCUGUGGUUGCUGAUGAGGGCCACUGCGUGAUCUACACCGCCGAUGGAACCCGGUUCCAGGUCCCUCUGGUGUACCUCGGGACGACGGUCUUCGCCGAGCUUCUGAGGAUGUCUGAGGAGGAGUUUGGCUUCGUGAGCAGCUAG